AAUAGAUACCCCGGUAGUCCACGCCGUAAACGAUGAGUGCUAAGUGUUAGGGGGUUUCCGCCCCUUAGUGCUGCAGCUAACGCAUUAAGCACUCCGCCUGGGGAGUACGGUCGCAAGACUGAAACUCAAAGGAAUUGACGGGGGCCCGCACAAGCGGUGGAGCAUGUGGUUUAAUUCGAAGCAACGCGAAGAACCUUACCAGGUCUUGACAUCCCGCUGACCGCUAUGGAGACAUAGCCUUCCCUUCGGGGACAGCGGUGACAGGUGGUGCAUGGUUGUCGUCAGCUCGUGUCGUGAGAUGUUGGGUUAAGUCCCGCAACGAGCGCAACCCUUGAGAUUAGUUGCCAUCAUUCAGUUGGGCACUCUAAUCUGACUGCCGGUGAUAAACCGGAGGAAGGUGGGGAUGACGUCAAAUCAUCAUGCCCCUUAUGACCUGGGCUACACACGUGCUACAAUGGACGGUACAAACGGUUGCCAACCCGCGAGGGGGAGCCAAUCCGGAUAAAACCCGUUCUCAGUUCGGAUUGUAGG
rnacentral:rRNA from 1 species